rnacentral:rRNA from 1 species
CACGGAGUUAGCCGGAGCUUAUUCUCCCGGUACUGUCAUUAUCAUCCCGGGUAAAAGAGCUUUACAACCCUAAGGCCUUCAUCACUCACGCGGCAUUGCUGGAUCAGGCUUGCGCCCAUUGUCCAAUAUUCCCUACUGCUGCCUCCCGUAGGAGUCUGGGCCGUGUCUCAGUCCCAGUGUGGCUGAUCAUCCUCUCAGACCAGCUAAGGAUCGUCGCCUUGGUGGGCCUUUACCCCACCAACUAGCUAAUCCUACGCGGGCUCAUCCUUGGGCGAUAAAUCUUUGGACUUACGUCAUCAUCCGGUAUUAGCUUCCGUUUCCAGAAGUUAUUCCGAACCCAAGGGCAGAUUCCCACGCGUUACGCACCCGUGCGCCACUAGAUCCGAAGAUCUCGUUCGACUUGCAUGUAUUAGGCAUGCCGCCAGCGUUCGUUCUGAGCCAGGAUCAAACUC